AAAAAAGCAGGAUGUUCUCUAUGUAAGCAUUGUCAUUCUUAUUGGGUGAACCUGUGGACUUAAACUUGACGUCUAUUAUUGGUUCAGUAAAUGGUGGCUUAUUU
rfam:Oryza nivara chromosome 9, whole genome shotgun sequence.